rnacentral:tRNA from 1 species
GCCUGGGUGGCUCAGUUGGUUAAGCGUCUGACUUCAGCUCAGGUCAUGAUCUCACAGUUUGUGAGUUCGAGCCCCACGUCGGGUU